UCACCGGAAGUUUUCUAAAUUUUUUUCGGGCUGAGGAAGCUUGUUAUUUUUACAUUUCCAUAAAUGCGGUUUUUUUCUUUAUAACUGUAACCCCCAAGACCUUCAUGGAAGGUUUUGAUUGUUGAUUCCGAAACGUAAACAUUAAAUCUGAUAAAAAAUGUCACACCCUUUUUGGAAAUCUAACUUACAUAAAACAUUUCUACCUUGGCUUAUACAAAGGGCAAAGAAUGUUACUGCAGUGCAAGCAAAACCAAAGAAAUUAGAAGUUUUCAUUGAUGACAAGCUUGUCCUUGUAGAUCCUGGUACUACUGUACUGCAAGUAUGUU